rnacentral:rRNA from 1 species
AUUGAACGCUGGCGGCAGGCUUAACACAUGCAAGUCGAGCGGAUGAAGGGAGCUUGCUCCUGGAUUCAGCGGCGGACGGGUGAGUAAUGCCUAGGAAUCUGCCUGGUAGUGGGGGAUAACGUCCGGAAACGGGCGCUAAUACCGCAUACGUCCUGAGGGAGAAAGUGGGGGAUCUUCGGACCUCACGCUAUCAGAUGAGCCUAGGUCGGAUUAGCUAGUUGGUGGGGUAAAGGCCUACCAAGGCGACGAUCCGUAACUGGUCUGAGAGGAUGAUCAGUCACACUGGAACUGAGACACGGUCCAGACUCCUACGGGAGGCAGCAGUGGGGAAUAUUGGACAAUGGGCGAAAGCCUGAUCCAGCCAUGCCGCGUGUGUGAAGAAGGUCUUCGGAUUGUAAAGCACUUUAAGUUGGGAGGAAGGGCAGUAAGUUAAUACCUUGCUGUUCUGACGUUACCAACAGAAUAAGCACCGGCUAACUUCGUG